rnacentral:rRNA from 1 species
UACGUAGGUGGCAAGCGUUGUCCGGAUUUACUGGGCGUAAAGAGCGCGCAGGCGGUCGUUCAAGUCGCGUGUGAAAGCCCCCGGCUCAACUGGGGAGGGUCACGCGAUACUGAUCGACUCGAAGGCAGGAGAGGGAAGUGGAAUUCCCGGUGUAGUGGUGAAAUGCGUAGAUAUCAGGAGGAAUACCGAUGGCGAAGGCAGGUCUCUGGGCUGACACUGACGCUCAUGCACGAAAGCGUGGGGAGCAAACAGG